UGAACGCUGGCGGUAUGCCUAACACAUGCAAGUCGAACGGUAACGACGGAAGCUUGCUUCCGGGCGACGAGUGGCGGACGGGUGAGUAUCGCGUGGGAAUCUACCUUGUAGCGGGGGAUAACUCGGGGAAACUCGAGCUAAUACCGCAUAAUCCCUUCGGGGGAAAGGCUUCGGCCACUACUAGAUGAGCCCGCGUCCGAUUAGCUUGUUGGUGAGGUAAUGGCUCACCAAGGCUACGAUCGGUAGCUGGUCUGAGAGGACGAUCAGCCACACUGGGACUUAGACACGGCCCAGACUCCUACGGGAGGCAGCAGUGGGGAAUAUUGCACAAUGGGCGAAAGCCUGAUGCAGCAAUACCGCGUGUGUGAAGAAGGCCUGCGGGUUGUAAAGCACUUUCAGUAGGAAAGAUAAUGACGGUACCUACAGAAGAAGCACCG
rnacentral:rRNA from 1 species